AUCAGGGGGGCUGCGUACCGUAAAAGUGAAAAAACUUGAGUUUAAGAUUUGGAAUUGAAAAGAGAAUAAGAUCUUAUUAGGGUAAAAUCUUAAAUUGGGGAAUUUCUCGGAAUGGAAAUUUCUGAAAGCUCUAAAGUGAGAGGAGAUACCUUGAGGAAAAAAAGAGGUAGUAGUAGAUGACUUGAAACUUAAAGAAUUUGGCGGUAUUUUAAUACCAGAGGAAUUUGUGUUAUUCGAAACUACUCGUUUUAUCUUACUUAAAUUUUGUUUGUAUAUCGUCGUAAAAACAAAACUAAGUAAAUGUUUGGAAAUAUUUGAAAAAUUACAGAUCAAGGUGCAUAUAGAAAACAUGAGCAAUUUAGAGAAAAAGACGGAUAUUUUUCUGAAAAGAGAAAUUGAAGGUGGAUUUGGAAGUAGGUUAAA
rnacentral:rRNA from 1 species